rnacentral:lncRNA from 1 species
AUUUAUUCUGACGCUGAGGAAGAGAAAAUCAAUCACCUUUAAGGUCAAACUCCUAGUUUAGAAAGUCAUGUUCAUCUCAAUGUUAUUAUUUGCCUGACUUACUUGUAUCUCACUUGUAUCUCAAGUCAAGCGUUAACCUGGAACUUGCUGUGUCUGUGCACUGAGAUCCACCACGAGUCUUUCCAAACAAGCUCUUUUGUAGGGAUGGAACUUCCCCCCCACCUAGCGGCGAAAUCACAGACCAACACAAAAUGCGAGUGAGUAGCGACGGAUUGUGCAGCACGGUGAUGGCACGCCGAAUGGCUGACACUGUACGGAUUUGAUACUUGGGUUAUUUAUGUGACACUUCAAUAGAGACAGCCUUAAGGUGAGUGUUAAUCCACCUGCUUGCAUCUCGAUUGUAUGGUUUGAGUAAAGCCGUGUCUGAGAUGCUGGUUUCAGAUGCAAUUUCACAAGAAUGAUAUGCAUACUUUUUUUCUGAACUGAACCCUCAGCAGUGAUGUAUGUACUUAAAGAAGCGUUACUCGUGAGUUGUGUUACUCUGAAGGGGUGGAAAUACAGAGUGAAGGCAAUUCAGAAGUGCCUGAAAUCCUAGAAUGCAGCCACUAGAGUGCAGCUGAACUCUACUCAGGGAACAGAAAUAAUCAAAUAGGUACUGAAGUGCUCUAAAAACAAACAAACAAAAAAGUAACUUGAGUUGUUGCAGUAAUAAUACUGCUGUAUGAGUGUUUUUUUCGGGUAAAUAUUUAGUUCUACUGUGUUAGAAUCAUAAAUGUUACCAGUGGCUGGUGUAUCUAUUCUAGC